rnacentral:rRNA from 1 species
UACGUAGGUGGCAAGCGUUGUCCGGAAUUAUUGGGCGUAAAGCGCGCGCAGGCGGUCCUUUAAGUCUGAUGUGAAAGCCCACGGCUCAACCGUGGAGGGUCAUUGGAAACUGGGGGACUUGAGUACAGAAGAGGAAAGCGGAAUUCCACGUGUAGCGGUGAAAUGCGUAGAGAUGUGGAGGAACACCAGUGGCGAAGGCGGCUUUCUGGUCUGUAACUGACACUGAGGCGCGAAAGCGUGGGGAGCGAACAGG